rnacentral:rRNA from 1 species
AUUGAACGCUGGCGGCAUGCCUUACACAUGCAAGUCGAACGGCAGCACGGGUGCUUGCACCUGGUGGCGAGUGGCGAACGGGUGAGUAAUACAUCGGAACGUACCUUAUCGUGGGGGAUAACGCAGCGAAAGCUGUGCUAAUACCGCAUACGCCCUGAGGGGGAAAGCGGGGGAUCGCAAGACCUCGCGCGAUUAGAGCGGCCGAUGCCUGAUUAGCUUGUUGGUGGGGUAAAAGCCCACCAAGGCGACGAUCAGUAGCUGGUCUGAGAGGACGAUCAGCCACACUGGGACUGAGACACGGCCCAGACUCCUACGGGAGGCAGCAGUGGGGAAUUUUGGACAAUGGGGGCAACCCUGAUCCAGCAAUGCCGCGUGAGUGAGGAAGGCCUUCGGGUUGUAAAGCUCUUUUGUCAGGGAAGAAACACCGGCUCUAACACAGUCUGGGAAUGACGGUAGCUGAAGAAUAAGCACCGGCUAACUACGUGCCAGCCGCCGCCGUAA